rfam:Hordeum vulgare subsp. vulgare, WGS project CAJW01000000 data, contig: morex_contig_1588681
UUUCUACUCCCUCCGUCCAAAAAUACUUGUUGAAGAAAUGAAUAUAUCUAAAUAUAAUUAAUUCUAGAUAUAUUUGUUUUUAUGCAUUUUUACGACAAGUAUUUUCGGACUGAUGAAGUAUUUA